GACGAACGCUGGCGGCGUGCCUAACACAUGCAAGUUGAGCGACGAACCAGGGCUUGCCCUGGGGCAAAGCAGCGAACGGGUGAGUAACACGUGGGUAACCUACCCCGAUAACCGGGACAACCCGAGGAAACUCGGGCUAAUACCGGAUGUGCUCACUGGACUUCGGUUCAGUGCGUAAAGGAAGCUUCGGCCUCCGUAUCGGGAGGGGCCCGCGGCCCAUUAGUUUGUUGGUGAGGUAACGGCUCACCAAGACCGCGAUGGGUAGCUGGUCUGAGAGGACGAUCAGCCACACUGGGACUGAGACACGGCCCAGACUCCUACGGGAGGCAGCAGUGGGGAAUCUUGCGCAAUGCGCGAAAGCGUGACGCAGCAACGCCGCGUGGGGGAAGAAGGCCUUCGGGCUGUAAACCCCUUUCAGGAGGGACGAAGGUUCGGCGGUGAAUAGCCGUCCGGACUGACGGUACCUCCACAAGAAGCCCCGGCUAACUACGUG
rnacentral:rRNA from 1 species